rnacentral:rRNA from 1 species
UACGAAGGGGGCUAGCGUUGCUCGGAAUGACUGGGCGUAAAGGGCGCGUAGGCGGAUGGCUUUUGUCGGGCGUGAAAUUCCAGGGCUUAACCUUGGGGCUGCGUUCGAGACGGGUUGUCUUGAGUGGGGAAGAGGGUCGUGGAAUUCCCAGUGUAGAGGUGAAAUUCGUAGAUAUUGGGAAGAACACCGGUGGCGAAGGCGGCGACCUGGUCCUUUACUGACGCUGAGGCGCGAAAGCGUGGGGGAGCAAACAGG